GAAAAGGGGGGGAGGCUACACAUGCAAGUCGAGCGGAAACGAGUUAACUGAACCUUCGGGGAACGUUAACGGCGUCGAGCGGCGGACGGGUGAGUAAUGCCUGGGAAAUUGCCCUGAUGUGGGGGAUAACCAUUGGAAACGAUGGCUAAUACCGCAUAAUAGCUUCGGCUCAAAGAGGGGGACCUUCGGGCCUCUCGCGUCAGGAUAUGCCCAGGUGGGAUUAGCUAGUUGGUGAGGUAAUGGCUCACCAAGGCGACGAUCCCUAGCUGGUCUGAGAGGAUGAUCAGCCACACUGGAACUGAGACACGGUCCAGACUCCUACGGGAGGCAGCAGUGGGGAAUAUUGCACAAUGGGCGCAAGCCUGAUGCAGCCAUGCCGCGUGUAUGAAGAAGGCCUUCGGGUUGUAAAGUACUUUCAGCAGUGAGGAAGGUGGGUAUGUUAAUAGCAUACACAUUUGACGUUAGCUGCAGAAGAAGCACCGGCUAACUCCGUGCCAGCAGCCGCGGUAAUACGGAGGGUGCGAGCGUUAAUCGGAAUUACUGGGCGUAAAGCGCAUGCAGGUGGUUUGUUAAGUCAGAUGUGAAAGCCCGGGGCUCAACCUCGGAAUUGCAUUUGAAACUGGCAAACUAGAGUACUGUAGAGGGGGGUAGAAUUUCAGGUGUAGCGGUGAAAUGCGUAGAGAUCUGAAGGAAUACCGGUGGCGAAGGCGGCCCCCUGGACAGAUACUGACACUCAGAUGCGAAAGUGUGGGGAGCAAACAGGAUUAGAUACCCUGGUAGUCCACGCCGUAAACGAUGUCUACUUGGAGGUUGUGGCCUUGAGCCGUGGCUUUCGGAGCUAACGCGUUAAGUAGACCGCCUGGGGAGUACGGUCGCAAGAUUAAAACUCAAAUGAAUUGACGGGGGCCCGCACAAGCGGUGGAGCGUGUGGUUUAAUUCGAUGCAACGCGAAGAACCUUACCUACUCUUGACAUCUACAGAAGCCAGCGGAGACGCAGGUGUGCCUUCGGGAACUGUAAGACAGGUGCUGCAUGGCUGUCGUCACCUCGUGUUGUGAAAUGUUGGGUUAAGUCCCGCAACCAACGCCAACCCUUAUCCCUUGUUUGCCAGCCCUUCCGGGUGGGAACUCCACGGAAAACUGCCCGGGG
rnacentral:rRNA from 1 species